rnacentral:rRNA from 1 species
CCUAUGCUGCCGAGAAAAGCCUCUAGCGAGCUGGUACAUGGCCCGUACCCCAAACCGACACAGGUGGUCAGGUAGAGAAUACUAAGGCGAUCGAGAGAACUGUGGUUAAGGAACUCGGCAAAAUGCCCCCGUAACUUCGGGAGAAGGGGGACCAGUCCUGGUGACGACAUUUACUGUCUGAGCUGGGGUUGGUCGCAGAGACCAGAGAGAAGCGACUGUUUACUAAAAACACAGGUCCGUGCGAAGUCGUAAGACGAUGUAUACGGACUGACGCCUGCCCGGUGCUGGAAGGUUAAGAGGACCGGUCAGCCACUUCGGUGGCGAAGCUGAGAAUUUAAGCCCCAGUAAACGGCGGUGGUAACUAUAACCAUCCUAAGGUAGCGAAAUUCCUUGUCGGGUAAGUUCCGACCUGCACGAAUGGCGUAACGACUUCUCUGCUGUCUCAACCACAGACUCGGCGAAAUUGCAGUACGAGUAAAGAUGCUCGUUACGCGCGGCAGGACGAAAAGACCCCGGGACCUUCACUAUAGCUUGGUAUUGGUGUUCGGUUCGGUUUGUGUAGGAUAGGUGGGAGACUGUGAAACUCGCACGCCAGUGUGGGUGGAGUCAUUGUUGAAAUACCACUCUGACCGUAUUGGACAUCUAACCUCGGACCAUGAUCUGGUUCAGGGACAGUGCCUGGUGGGUAGUUUAACUGGGGCGGUUGCCUCCCAAAAAGUAACGGAGGCGCCCAAAGGUUCCCUCAGCCUGGUUGGCAAUCAGGUGUUGAGUGUAAGUGCACAAGGGAGCUUGACUGUGAGACGUACAUGUCGAGCAGGGACGAAAGUCGGGACUAGUGAUCCGGCACCGGCAAGUGGAAGCGGUGUCGCUCAACGGAUAAAAGGUACCCCGGGGAUAACAGGCUGAUCUUCCCCAAGAGUCCAUAUCGACGGGAUGGUUUGGCACCUCGAUGUCGGCUCGUCGCAUCCUGGGGCUGGAGUAGGUCCCAAGGGUUGGGCUGUUCGCCCAUUAAAGCGGCACGCGAGCUGGGUUUAGAACGUCGUGAGACAGUUCGGUCUCUAUCCGCCGCGCGCGUAAGAAACUUGAGGAAACCUGUCCCUAGUACGAGAGGACCGGGACGGACGAACCUCUGGUGUGCCAGUUGUUCCACCAGGAGCACCGCUGGUUAGCUACGUUCGGAAGGGAUAACCGCUGAAAGCAUCUAAGCGGGAAGCCUGUUCCAAGAUGAGGUUUCUCACCACCUAGCGUGGUUAAGGCCCCCCACAGACCAUGGGGUUGAUAGGCCAGAACUGUAAGCACAGCAAUGUGUUCAGGUGACUGGUACUAGUCGGCCGAGGACUUACAACG